rnacentral:rRNA from 1 species
AAACCAACAGGGAUUGCCUUAGUAGCGGCGAGUGAAGCGGCAAGAGCUCAAAUUUGAAAUCUGGUACCUUCGGUGCCCGAGUUGUAAUUUGAAGAAAGCUGUCUUGGAGUUGGCCUUUGUCUAUGUUCCUUGGAACAGGACGUCACAGAGGGUGAGAAUCCCGUGCGAUGAGGUGUCCAAUUCUUUAUAAGACGUUUUCGAAGAGUCGAGUUGUUUGGGAAUGCAGCUCAAAGUGGGUGGUAAAUUCCAUCUAAAGCUAAAUAUUGGCGAGAGACCGAUAGCGAACAAGUACUGUGAAGGAAAGAUGAAAAGAACUUUGAAAAGAGAGUGAAAAAGUACGUGAAAUUGUUGAAAGGGAAGGGUAUUCAAUCAGACUUGGUAUUUAGUUAUCAUUACUCCUUGUGGGUGGUGCUCUAGCUUUUUACUGGGCCAGCAUCAGUUUUGGUGGCAAGAUAAUGGCAGUUGAAUGUAGCUCAUUGAGUAUUAUAGCUUCUGCUGAUAUUGCCUACUGAGACUGAGGUCUGCGGCUUUUGCCUAGGAUGCUGGCGUAAUGAUUGAAUACCGC